GUCUCAACAUGAGAUCUUUCUAAAUCUUUUCAGAUUUUCUUUUCCUAAUCUAAUGAAAUCAAAUCACAGUAACUUCUCUACCGUUAAACCACAAAAAUCGCACAAAAACCAAACUCCAACACUAAUCACUAUUAGCCUUUACCAUUUCAAUUACAAAAUGUGCAAACCCCAAAUCAACAAACUUACAAACCUAGACCAUCACAUCUACAAAAUUUACAGCACCGUCCAGUGCCAAAUCUUACUCUUUCAAUUAUAUCAGAACAUUUUCUUCUCCUUCUCAUCUUCCUUUUUCCUCCUUU
rnacentral:misc_RNA from 1 species